CAUAGCGACUAUCGUGGCAUAUCAAUAAGCGGAGGAAAAGAAACUAACAAGGAUUCCCCUAGUAACGGCGAGUGAAGCGGGAAGAGCUCAAAUUUGAAAUCUUAAAGGUUCUACCUUGACGAAUUGUAGUUUAUAGAAGUGUUUUCUGUUGAGUUUCGAGUGAAAAGUUCUUUGGAAUAGGACAUCAUAGAGGGUGAGAAUCCCGUAUUUGGUCAUUCUUUCUAGCUUUGUGAUACACUUUCAACGAGUCGGAUUGUUUGGGAAUGCAGUCCAAAAUGGGUGGUAAAUUUCAUCUAAAGCUAAAUAUUGGCGAGAGACCGAUAGCGAACAAGUACCGUGAGGGAAAGAUGAAAAGAACUUUGAAAAGAGAGUUAAACAGUACGUGAAAUUGUCAAAAGGGAAGCGUUUGACACCAGUGUUGUUUUUCCGAAAAUCAAUUACGAAUGUUUUGUUUUUGAGAAGUUAUGACUUCAUCGGCUUGCUUCUCUCUUUACGAAACUUUCUUAAUGCACUUUUCGGUUAACAAGUCAACAUCAAUUUCUUUUGUUGUAAAAGGGUAUGAGGAAGGUGGCUUUCUUUUCGGAGAAAGUGUUUAUAGCCUUGUACCUCUGCAAUCGGAGAGAUUGAGGUCUGCAGCGUAGAUCCUUCGGGGUUAGAUACAUUUGUGCUAAGUUAUAGCUUUUCAUAGACAACUUGUUGACUAUGUUAAGUCUUGUAGCUUACUCGCUUAUGCUAUUUUACCUACGCUUAGGAUGUUGAUAUGCAUGACUGAUAU
rnacentral:rRNA from 1 species